UAGGGAAUCUUCGGCAAUGGGGGGAACCCUGACCGAGCAACGCCGCGUGAGUGAAGAAGGUUUUCGGAUCGUAAAGCUCUGUUGUUAAGGAAGAACGAGUGUGAGAAUGGAAAGUUCAUGCUGUGACGGUACUUAACCAGAAAGUGACGGCUAACUACGUGCCAGCAGCCGCGGUAAUACGUAGGUCCCGAGCGUUGUCCGGAUUUAUUGGGCGUAAAGCGAGCGCAGGCGGUUAGAAAAGUCUGAAGUGAAAGGCAGUGGCUCAACCAUUGUAGGCUUUGGAAACUGUUUAACUUGAGUGCAGAAGGGGAGAGUGGAAUUCCAUGUGUAGCGGUGAAAUGCGUAGAUAUAUGGAGGAACACCGGUGGCGAAAGCGGCUCUCUGGUCUGUAACUGACGCUGAGGCUCGAAAGCGUGGGGAGCGAACAGG
rnacentral:rRNA from 1 species